rnacentral:rRNA from 1 species
AUUGAACGCUGGCGGCAGGCUUAACACAUGCAAGUCGAGCGAUCGGCGGACGGGUGAGUAAUGUCUGGGAAACUGCCUGGUGGAGGGGGAUAACCACUGGAAACGGUAGCUAAUACCGCAUACCAUCAGAUGUGCCCAGAUGGUAUUAGCUAGUAGGUGGGGUAAUGGCUCGCUUAGGCGAAGAUCCCUCGCUGGUCUGAGAGGGUGACCAGCCACACUGGAACGGAGACACAGGACAGACUCGUACGGGAGGCAGCAGUGGGGAAUAUUGAACAAUGGGCGCAGGCCUGAUGCAGCCAUGCCGCGUGUGUGAAGAAGGCCUUCGGGUUGUGAAGCACUUUCAACGAGGAGGCGUUACUCGCAGAAGAAGCACCGGCUAACUCCGUGCCAGGAGCGGCGGGAAUUC